AACGAACGCUGGCGGCGUGCCUAACACAUGCAAGUCGAACGUGAAAGUCCUUCGGGAUGAGUAAAGUGGCGCACGGGUGUGUAACACGUAGGUGACCUGCCUUUUAGAGGGGAAUAACCAGAAGAAAUUGUGGCUAAUGCCGCAUACGAAGCACGGUUUUAAGACUGUGCUUGAAAGAAUGCCUCUGUAUAUGCAUUCACUAAAAGAUGGGCCCGCGGAACAUUAGCUAGUUGGUGGGGUAAAGGACUACCAAGGCAACGAUGUUUAUCCGGUCUGAGAGGAUGAUCGGACACACUGGAACUGAGACACGGUCCAGACUCCUACGGGAGGCAGCAGUGGGGAGUAUUGCGCAAUGGGGGAAACCCUGACGCAGCAACGCCGCGUGAGUGAGGAAGGACUUCGGUCUGUAAAGCUCUGUUAAUGUGGAAAAAUGGUAGUUGGUCUAAUAGGCCGAUUAUUUGAUGGUACACAUAGAGGAAGCACCGGCUAACUUCGUGCCAGCCGCCGCCGUAA
rnacentral:rRNA from 1 species